UACGUAGGUGGCAAGCGUUGUCCGGAUUUACUGGGCGUAAAGAGCGCGCAGGCGGUCGUUCAAGUCGCGUGUGAAAGCCCCCGGCUCAACUGGGGAGGGUCAUUCGAUACUGUUCGACUCGAAGGCAGGAGAGGGAAGUGGAAUUCCGGGUGUAGUGGUGAAAUGCGUAGAUAUCCGGAGGAACACCAGUGGCGAAGGCGACUUUCUGGCCUGUUCUUGACGCUGAGGCGCGAAAGCUAGGGGAGCAAACGGG
rnacentral:rRNA from 1 species